rfam:Aedes albopictus isolate Foshan contig132234, whole genome shotgun sequence.
GUCGGCUAUGGCGACAUGGCACCGAAAACCUACAUCGGGAUGUUUGUCGGAGCGUUGUGUGCUUUGGCCGGAGUGCUGACGAUCGCUCUUCCAGCAACUUUGCCAUGUACUAC